rnacentral:rRNA from 1 species
GACGUAGGGGCGCGAGCGUUUGUCCGGAUUUAUUGGGCGUAAAGGGCUCGUAGGCGGUCUGUCACGUCGGGAGUGAAAAACUCGGGGCUCAACCCCGAGCCUGCUUCCGAUACGGGCAGACUAGAGGUAUGCAGGGGAGAAUGGAAUUCCUGGUGUAGCGGUGAAAUGCGCAGAUAUCAGGAGGAACACCAGUGGCGAAGGCGGUUCUCUGGGCAUUACCUGACGCUGAGGAGCGAAAGUGUGGGGAGCGAACAGG